AACCUUUACACUGCACGCCAGUGCGAUAGGGGGACACCGAGUGCGAGGGCAUAGAGCCCUCGCUUUUGUAGACCGUAAGGAGGUCUACGAAUAAGGGCUGGGCAAGACCGGUGCCAGCCGCCGCGGUAACACCGGCAGCCCGAGUGAUGGCCGAUAUUAUUGGGCCUAAAGCGUCCGUAGCUGGCCGCACAAGUCCGUCGGGAAAUCCACUCGCUUAACGAGUGGGCGUCCGGCGGAAACUGUGCGGCUUGGGACCGGAAGAUCCGAGGGGUACGUCCGGGGUAGGAGUGAAAUCCCGUAAUCCUGGACGGACCACCGAUGGCGAAAGCACCUCGGAAGGACGGAUCCGACAGUGAGGGACGAAAGCUAGGGUCUCGAACCGGAUUAGAUACCCGGGUAGUCCUAGCCGUAAACGAUGCUCGCUAGGUGUGGCGCAGGCUACGAGCCUGCGCUGUGCCGUAGGGAAGCCGUGAAGCGAGCCGCCUGGGAAGUACGUCUGCAAGGAUGAAACUUAA
rnacentral:rRNA from 1 species